GCAGUGGUAGAGGAGCAUUCUGCACGGGUUGAAGUCGUACCGUAAGGAGCGGUGGACUGUGCAGAAGAGAGAAUGCUGGCAUGAGUAGCGAAAGGUAGGUGAGAAUCCUACCCAUCGGAAGCCUAAGGUUUCCUGAGGAAGGCUCGUCCACUCAGGGUAAGUCGGGACCUAAGCCGAGGCUGAAAAGCGUAGGCGAUGGAUAACAGGUUGAAAUUCCUGUACUACCAAUAUAUGAUUGAGAGAUGGAGUGACACAGAAGGAUAGGCUAAGCACACCGUUGGUUGAGUGUGUCUAAGUAAGUAGGAAGUUUUUAUAGGCAAAUCCGUAAAAACAAUUCCGAGAUACGAAUGGGAGCGAAAAAUAAGUAGCGAAGUAGCUGAUUCCACGCUGUCAAGAAAAGCUUCUAUCGAGUAUAUUGGUACCCGUACCGCAAACCGACACAGGUAGGCAGGAUGAAAAUUCUAAGAUGAGCGGGAUAACCCUUGUUAAGGAACUCGGCAAAAUGACCCCGUAACUUCGGGAGAAGGGGUGCCGGAGGAGGUUUAGUCACUAGCUGACAAAAGCCUCAACCGGCCGCAGAGAAUAGGCCCAAGCGACUGUUUAGCAAAAACACAGGUCUCUGCUAAAUCGAAAGAUGAAGUAUAGGGGCUGACACCUGCCCGGUGCUGGAAGGUUAAGGGGAAGCGUUAGUCAUUUAUGACGAAGCGGCGAACUUAAGCCCCAGUAAACGGCGGCCGUAACUAUAACGGUCCUAAGGUAGCGAAAUUCCUUGUCGGGUAAGUUCCGACCCGCACGAAAGGUGUAACGAUUUGGGCACUGUCUCAACAAGGGACCCGGUGAAAUUGUAGUACUCGUGAAGAUGCGAGUUACCCGCGGCAGGACGGAAAGACCCCGUGGAGCUUUACUGCAAGCUGAUAUUGGAUUUUGGUAUUAUAUGUACAGGAUAGGUGGGAGACAAGAAAACCAGGGCGCCAGCUUUGGUGGAGUCAACCUUGGGAUACCACCCUUGUAAUACUGAAGUUCUAACCAUAGACCGUGAAUCCGGUCUUGGGACAUUGUCAGUUGGGCAGUUUGACUGGGGCGGUCGCCUCCAAAAGAGUAACGGAGGCGCUCAAAGGUUCUCUCAGCACGGACGGAAAUCGUGCGUAGAGUGUAAAGGCACAAGAGAGCUUGACUGCGAGAGAUACAUCUCGAGCAGGAACGAAAGUUGGACUUAGUGAUCCGGUGGUUCCGAGUGGAAGGGCCAUCGCUCAACGGAUAAAAGCUACCCCGGGGAUAACAGGCUUAUCUCCCCCAAGAGUCCACAUCGACGGGGAGGUUUGGCACCUCGAUGUCGGCUCGUCUCAUCCUGGGGCUGGAGUAGGUCCCAAGGGUUGGGCUGUUCGCCCAUUAAAGAGGCACGCGAGCUGGGUUCAGAACGUCGUGAGACAGUUCGGUCCCUAUCCGCCGUGGGCGCAGGAAAUUUGAAAGGAGUUGUCCCUAGUACGAGAGGACCGGGAUGAACAGACCUCUGGUGCAUCAGUUGUUCUGCCAAGAGCAUAGCUGAGUAGCUAAGUCUGGAAGUGAUAAGCGCUGAAGGCAUCUAAGCGCGAAGCACCCCUUAAGAUUAGAUUUCCCUUCCUUUAUGGAGUAAGACCCCAGAUAGACCAUCUGGUUGAUAGGCCUAAGGUGUAAGGACAGCAAUGUCUUUAGCUUACAGGUACUAAUAGGUCGAGGACUUGACCAA
rnacentral:rRNA from 1 species